GCUGCAGUGUUGUUGUGGCUGUGAGAAGGCGGCGGCGGCGGCGGAGCAGCAGCCGGACCAGACUCCCUAGUAGCUCAGGCGCUGCCCUGCGCCGGCCCUGGCAGGGAGCCUGGUGAGAUGGUGGAGGAGGAGGCUGUGCCGUGGCUGGCCUUGCUGUGUCCUGCUGCCUGGGAGGUGAGUGUGCGCCCUUCGCUCCCUGCCGUGUCUGUGAGGGUCCAUCGUUGCCGGAGACUGGAGGUCGGGGGCCAUGGGAGCCCCGGGGCGAACGGUGCGGACAUGGGCCUUGUGGAAAGGAGGAGUGACCGCCUGAGCGUGCAGCAGGACAUCUUCCUGACCUGGUAAUAAUUAGGCUGGAGUGCAAUGGUGCAAUCUCGGCUACUGCAACCACUGCUGCCCGAGUUCAAUCGAUUCUCCCCUCAGCCUCCCAAGUAGCUGGGAUUACAGGUGUGUGCCACCACACCCGGCUAAUUUUUGUAUUUUUAGUAAUUUUCCCCAGUGUGUGGCUUGGCUUUUCACUCUCUAAAUGGUGUCUUUUGAUGAACAGAAAUUGUUAAUUUUAUGAAAGUUUAAUUUAUCAAUUAUGGUUAGUUAUAGUUAUGUACAAUUUGGAAAAUCAUUGCCUAUCCCAACAUUAUAAAAAUAAUGUCCUACAUUCUUUUUUAAGAGGUUACAUUAUUUUACAUUUCUCAGCAGGGUCUCAGAUCUAGUUGAUGUGAUUUUUUCAAAUCACAAACUCACUUUUGUAUAGGGUUUGAGGAGGGGUCAAAAUAAAUUUUUCCUCAUAGAUAUCCAGUUGAUCCAGCACCUUUUAUUGAAAAGGCCAUUCCUCACACUAAAUUGUAGUAGUGCUUUUGUCAAAAAUCAGGUGACUGUAUAUAGAAAGGUCUGUUUCUGAUCUGUUUUCUGUUUUAUUAUUCUAGGUGUCCAUGCUUGUUCUAAUACCUUACUAUUUGAUUUACUUUAGCUUUAUACCAAGUUUUGAUGUUUAAUCAUGUAAAUCCUCAACCUUUGUUCUUUUUCAAAGUUAUCUUGGCUAUUAAAUUCUUGGUAUUUCUAAAUAUAGUUUUAAAACAGUGUCAGACAAUGCUUUUUUAUUAUUUAAAGAUGAGAUACUAAGUACCUGAACACAAUGACAAAUUCUAUGAUCUUCUGAAACUAACCUCCGGGUGUGAGAAUUUGAAGGUUAGUGGAUAGAAGAUGGCCGAAUAGGAACAGCUCCGAUCUGCAGCUCCCAGUGAGACCAACACAGAAAACAGGUGAUUUCUGCAUUUCCAAAUGAGGUACCUGGUUCAUCAUCAUUGGCACUGGUUGGACAGUGGGUGCAGCCCACAGAGGGUGAGUUGAAGCAGGGCAGUGUGUCACCUCAUCCGGGAAAUGCAAGGGGUCAGGAGAUUUCCUUUACCUAUCCAAGGGAAGCUGUGACAGACUGUACUUGGAAAAAUGGUACACUUCUGCCUAAAUACUGUGCUUUUCCCAUGGUCUUAGCAACCAGCAGACCAGGAGAUUCCCUCCCAUGUCUGGCUCAGUGGAUCCCACGCCCAUGGAGCCUUGCUCACUGCUAGCACAGCAAUCUGAGAUUGACCUGAGAGGCUGCAGCCGGGUGGAGGGAGGGGGGUCUGCUAUUGCUGAGGCUUCAGUAGGUAAAGAAAGCAGCCAGAAAGCUCAAACUGGGUGGAGCCCACCACAGCUCAACAAUGCCUACUGCCUCUAUAGGCUCCACCUCUUUGGACAGGGCAUAGCUGAACAAAAGGCAGCAGACAACUUCUUCAGACUUAAACAUCCCUGUCUGACAGCUCUGAGAGAGAAGUGGUUCUUCCAGCAUGGUGUUGGAACUCUGAGAAUGGACAGACUGCCUCCUUAAGGGGGCCCCUGAUCCCCGUAUAGCCUGACUGGGAGACAUCUCCCAGUAGGGGCCGACAGAUACCUCAUACAGGUGGGUGCCCCUCUGCGAUGAAGCUUCCAGAGGAAGGAUCAGGCAGCAAUACUUGCUCUUCUGCAGCCUCUGCUGGUGAUGCCCAGGCAAACAGGGUCUGGAGUGGACCUCCAGCAAACUCCAACAGACAUGCAGCUGAGAGGCCUGUUAGAAGGAAAACUAACAAACAGAAAGGAAUAGCAUCAAUAUCAACAAAAAGGACAUCCACAUUAAAACCCCAUCUGUAGGUCACCAACAUCAAAGACCAAAGGUAGAUAAAAUCACAAAGAUGGGGAGAAACCAGAGCAGAAAAGAUGAAAAUUCCAAAAACCUAAGCACUUCUUCUUGUCCAAAGGAUCGCAGCUCCUCACCAGCAACAGAACAAAACUGGACAGAGAAUGACUUUGAUGAAUUGACAGAAGUAGGCUUCAGAAGGUCGGUAAUAACAAACUUCUCUGAGCUAAAGGAGCAUGUUCUAACCCACUGGAAGGAAGCUAAAACUCUUGAAAACAGGUUAGAUGAAUGGCUAACUAGAAUAAAUAGUGUAAAGAAGACCUUAAAUGACCUGAUGGAGAUGAAAACCACAGCAUGAGAACUUCGUGACGCAUGCACAAGCAUCAAUAGCUGAUUCAAUCAAGUGGAAGAAAGGAUAUCAGUGAUUGAAGAUCAAAUUAAUGAAAUAAAGUGAGAAGACAAGAUUAGAGAAAAAA